rnacentral:rRNA from 1 species
UACGAAGGUGGCAAGCGUUGUUCGGAUUUACUGGGCGUACAGGGAGCGUAGGCGGUUGGAUAAGCCCUCCGUGAAAUCUCCAGGCUUAACCUGGAAAGUGCAGAGGGGACUGUUCAGCUAGAGGAUGGGAGAGGAGCGCGGAAUUCCCGGGUGUAGCGGUGAAAUGCGUAGAGAUCGGGAGGAAGGCCGGUGGCGAAGGCGGCGCUCUGGAACAUUUCUGACGCUGAGGCUCGAAAGCGUGGGUAGCAAACAGG